UAAGGAAUAUUGGUCAAUGGACGCAAGUCUGAACCAGCCAUGCCGCGUGAAGGAUGAAGGUCCUCUGGAUUGUAAACUUCUUUUAUAUGGGACGAAACCCUUUUAUUCUUAAAAGACUGACGGUACCAUACGAAUAAGCACCGGCUAACUCCGUGCCAGCAGCCGCGGUAAUACGGAGGGUGCAAGCGUUAUCCGGAUUCACUGGGUUUAAAGGGUGCGUAGGAGGGCAGGUAAGUCAGUGGUGAAAUCUCCGGGCUUAACUCGGAAACUGCCGUUGAUACUAUCUGUCUUGAAUACCGUGGAGAUGAGCGGAAUAUGUCAUGUAGCGGUGAAAUGCUUAGAUAUGACAUAGAACACCAAUUGCGAAGGCAGCUCGUUACACGAAUAUUGACUCUGAGGCACGAAAGCGUGGGGAUCAAACAG
rnacentral:rRNA from 1 species